rnacentral:rRNA from 1 species
UACGUAGGGGGCAAGCGUUGUCCGGAUUUAUUGGGCGUAAAGAGCGUGUAGGCGGCCAGGUAGGUCAGCUGUGAAAACUCGAGGCUCAACCUCGAGACGUCGGUUGAAACCAUCUGGCUAGAGUCCGGAAGAGGAGAGUGGAAUUCCCGGUGUAGCGGUGAAAUGCGCAGAUAUCGGGAAGAACACCCGUGGCGAAGGCGGCUCGCUGGAACGGUACUGACGCUGAGGCGCGAAAGCGUGGGGAGCGAACAGG